CGGGGUGAGUAACGCGUGGGUAACCUGCCUCAUACAGGGGGAUAACAGUUGGAAACGGCUGCUAAUACCGCAUAAGCCCACGGCUCGGCAUCGAGCAGAGGGAAAAGGAGCAAUCCGCUUUGAGAUGGCCUCGCGUCCGAUUAGCUAGUUGGUGAGGUAAUGGCCCACCAAGGCAACGAUCGGUAGCCGGACUGAGAGGUUGAACGGCCACAUUGGGACUGAGACACGGCCCAG
rnacentral:rRNA from 1 species